rnacentral:lncRNA from 1 species
UGAUCUGACGCCAUAUUUGUUAUGGUUUCUGGAAUUCGGAUUUGGAAUGGAUUUUUAUAGUGAUCUGUGUCACAGAUUAAUAAAAAGUGCCGGUUUUACUUUUAUAAUUCUUAAAUUAUUUAUUAAUUUAUUGUUUUUGUUGAUAUUAUGGUGCUAAUUAAUGUGUGUUUAGUUAAACCACUUCUGAUUUCAAUUUCUAAUAGUAUCUAUUAAUCUGUGGUACUAUACGAACGAUUUUUGAUCUACCUCCAUACUUUUUCUUACUUCUUUGCAUAAUAACUACAGAUCAAGCAGCAUACAGCUAUGAUGAACCACACUACAAAACAGCAGAAAGAUGUUCCUAUGAAAGCAAAAGCAGCAGCUUCCUGCGCUGCAGUCUCAGAACACGCGGCCGAUGCACAGAAUCCCAUAAAAAGGGAAAGUAUCACCUUUGGAUGCACACUUUGUUAUGAGGACUUUGUGCAAGAAGAUGCAUACAAUGAACAUAUGAUCAUGCAUCUCCAGGAUGCUGGGAAUAAUGCUGUAUGUGAUGCAUCACAAGUGUG